UUAAACAUUCAGAGGUUAUAUAUAUGAAAACAGUCUCACAAUACAGUCACAGUAAAUAAUAAAUACUAAGGUUUAUUUCACAUUAUAGAAAACAAUAGUUACUUUUUAUGUUCAAGAACAAAGUGCUUCAGAAGUGUUCAGCAGAAGAAUAAGAAGAUUGUCCACCUGUCCACCAGGUGUCCUCAGACUCUCCUCAUCCUGAUCACCUGGGUCUCAUUUCCCAAUCACCCUGUCAGCACAUAUACCAGACCUGGUCCUGGUUGGUCCAUGUUGUGUCGGGACUUAAAAAGCACCAAUACCACACUGUGAAAACACUCCACUACAAGUCAAAGUCCUGCAUUCUUACUUAAGUUAAAUUUGGACCCAGAACGUAAGAAGUGAAGCUGCCAAAUGUCUCCUAACAUCUGGAUCAGUUCUGGAUCUGACUUGUUCUGCUGGAGGAGACAUGAGACUAAAGGAAGUUCAAACAAAGCAACGCCACAAACAGAAGGUAAUAUAGAAACAUUGCUGCUGGACAUCUUACAGCUGCAUCUACUAGAAAUAUCACAGCAGAGACUAUGAGAACUUUGCAGCUCUGAGAGAAGUUUGAACUUUGUUCCAAUGAUGUGAUCUGACUUUUGGGCCUCCUGGUGUGUGUUCUGCAGCUGCAUGAAGACAGAAAACCAGUGUUUGUGUCUGAUAUCAGGUGCAUCAACUCAGUAGUGUUGGACCAGCUCAUAAAACACAUUUAUACCAAUUCAGCAAAUGUAGAACUGAGACUAAAUAAACCGGUAAAUAUCUGUCUGACAUCAGAUGGUUUUAACAGCAGUCAUAUAACAGAAGUUACUCAGCUUGGCCAGAUGGUGGCGCUGUAGAACAACUUAUUUUCCAAAAGCUGCUGAAGUUUUACUAAGAAACAAAGUUCCAUAGAUUACUGAGAUCAAGUGACAUUUAAUAUAAAAUGAUCCAUUUAGGGCUUCAUGUCAUGUUAAAUUAAGUCUCUGCUGCCUUAGUUUUUAUGGUGUGUCUCCAAAAUGUACAAAACAAUAUUUUCCUUUUAAUAAACAUAAGUGAACUUUUUGACCUGAUGAAUGAAA